UAAAAAUCCACGUUUAUGGGUCUAGUUGUUCAUCAAAAAUAUUUUUGAUGAACAACUAGACCCAUAAACGUGGAUUUUUAAAA
rnacentral:pre_miRNA from 1 species